UGGGGAAUAUUGCACAAUGGGCGCAAGCCUGAUGCAGCAACGCCGCGUGAACGAUGAAGGUCUUCGGAUCGUAAAGUUCUGUUGCAGGGGAAGAUAAUGACGGUACCCUGUGAGGAAGCCCCGGCUAACUACGUGCCAGCAGCCGCGGUAAUACGUAGGGGGCUAGCGUUAUCCGGAUUUACUGGGCGUAAAGGGUGCGUAGGUGGUCCUUCAAGUCGGUGGUUAAAGGCUACGGCUCAACCGUAGUAAGCCGCCGAAACUGGAGGACUUGGGUGCAGGAGAGGAAAGUGGAAUUCCCAGUGUAGCGGUGAAAUGCGUAGAUAUUGGGAGGAACACCAGUAGCGAAGGCGGCUUUCUGGACUGCAACUGACACAGAGGCACGAAAGCGUGGGUAGCAAACAGG
rnacentral:rRNA from 1 species